rnacentral:rRNA from 1 species
GGUCAUUUAGAGGAAGUAAAAGUCGUAACAAGGUUUCCGUAGGUGAACCUGCGGAAGGAUCAUUAAAGAGAUAGGGUCUUCAUGGCCCGACCUCCAACCCUCUGUUGUUAAAACUACCUUGUUGCUUUGGCGGGACCGUCUCGGUCUCCGAGCGCACUAACCCUCGGGUUGGUGAGCGCCCGCCAGAGUCCAACCAAACUCUUGUAUUAAACCAGUCGUCUGAGUAUAAAAUUUUAAUUAAAUUAAAACUUUCAACAACGGAUCUCUUGGUUCUCGCAUCGAUGAAGAACGCAGCGAAAUGCGAUAAGUAAUGUGAAUUGCAGAAUUCAGUGAAUCAUCGAAUCUUUGAACGCACAUUGCGCCCCUUGGUAUUCCGAGGGGCAUGCCUGUUCGAGCGUCAUUACACCACUCAAGCAUCGCUUGGUAUUGGGAACGGUCCGUCGCAAGGCGGGCCUUCCUCGAAGACCUCGGCGGGGUUCAACCAACUUCGGGCGUAGUAGAGUUAAAUCGAACGUCUUAUAAGCUUGGUCGGAUCUCAUUGCCGUUAAACCUUUAAAUUUUCUAGGUUGACCUCGGAUCAGGUAGGGAUACCCGCUGAACUUAAGCAUAUCAAUAAGCGGA